GACGAACGCUGGCGGCGUGCUUAACACAUGCAAGUCGAACGGAAAGGCCCUGCUUUUGUGGGGUGCUCGAGUGGCGAACGGGUGAGUAACACGUGAGUAACCUGCCCUUGACUUUGGGAUAACUUCAGGAAACUGGGGCUAAUACCGGAUAGGAGCUCCUGCUGCAUGGUGGGGGUUGGAAAGUUUCGGCGGUUGGGGAUGGACUCGCGGCUUAUCAGCUUGUUGGUGGGGUAGUGGCUUACCAAGGCUUUGACGGGUAGCCGGCCUGAGAGGGUGACCGGCCACAUUGCGACUGAGAUACGGCCCAGCCUCCUACGGGAGGCAGCAGUGGGGAAUAUUGCACAAUGGGCGGAAGCCUGAUGCAGCCACGCCGCGUGCGGGAUGACGGCCUUCGGGUUGUAAACCGCUUUCGCCUGUGACGAAGCGUGAGUGACGGUAAUGGGUAAAGAAGCACCGGCUAACUACGUG
rnacentral:rRNA from 1 species